UAUAUUUUUUCCCAAAAAAAAAAAGAUUUUCCUUUUAUUUUAUUUUCCAUUUUAUCUACCAAAACCAAAGUGAGAAGUUUUCACACAGUCACUUUAUUCAUUGUUUGGCCAUAAAAAGAAUCUUUCUUUUUCAUUCAUCAACUAGGUUAAGUUGAUAAGCUCUUUCUCUUUCUCUUUCUUUCCUUUAAUGCCAUUGGUGGCCUUGAAUUUACAGUGACAACAGCACCAAAAAGGACAGCACCAGAGAAAAGCAAAGCAAUGGCUGAAACUAUACAUCUGUACUGGUCAAUCCUCGUGCCUUCUGCUUCUUGUAAAUGAGCUUGGAUUUGUAGCCUAGAUUGCCACUGGUAGGUUCUCUCAUCAACUAUUCUUUCUUUCUUCGCCUCUUAAUUUCUUCACCUAGGGUUCUUUGCAAGGUCUUUUUCUGUUACUGUUAGUGUUGGUACAGAUUCUUUUUUUAUUUUUUUAAAAAUCGUUUUAAGCAUAUGUUCAGAUUCGUAGCUCUUUCAGGAUUUCCCCUUAUCACUGCUGAGAGUUUUCUAUAUAUUUCCAUUUACAGAAACAUUCUCUAACUUGGGUGUACUUGCUAAUUUCCUCUUUAUCUUCAAUUUCUUUCAAGUUUUCUCCCCUUUACAUACAGUAUUAGUAGAAAGAAAAUUUCUUUUCCUCUUCUGCAAUUUCCAUUUAUAGGUAAAAUUUUCUUUAUUUUCUUUGAUUGAUGAUCUUCUUGAAUAUCCUUUAAUUUUUUUUCCCUUUUUCUUGGUGGGUUAGGUAGUAAAAAGCAAGAUCUGUGAUUGGUUUCUUGUAAUUAAUAAUCACUAACUAUUCUCAAUUCAUCUUACCUCUCAACCCAAGCUUAAUCACUGAAGGUCCUUGUCCCAAAUUACUCAAAUCAAGAGGUGCUUUAGGGUAAAAAAUGAGAUAUAUUGUGAAGAAAACUUUGCUUCUGUAUGUAUCAUGUAUCGUUUUUUUUUUAAUAGUUAUCUUCUCUCAUCUACUUCAAUUUCUGUUUCUUUUCAUGAUUUUCAAUGUGUCCAACAACAUUGCAAGUGCAUGGAAGUGACAUAUCUCCAUCUGUUUUCAUGAUUAUUUCUUGUUUGCUAAAGAUUUUGCAGCAUUUUUUUGGGACAUGUUUGGUAGGUCCUGGGCUGAGAGUUCAUUUUUGUUUCAAAUUGGUCACUAUAAAAUACUGCAGUGAUAUUCCAUGGCAAAAUUAGUAAUAAACAACUAUGUCUUCUUUUUACAAAAUCAAUCACUUUGCUCCAUUGGCUUUAUAAAAAUUUAACCUUUAGGUCCUUUAUUGGCUAAAGUAGGUCUCUAAAGAACAUAAGAAACUGGAAACUGGAAAAACUCUAAACUGCUGAUUUUAUAAAAUUCAGGACCAAAGUAUUUUUGAGCAAUGAGAGACCAUAGAAUGUAUUGGGCUAAACUGCGAAUCUUUUUCUUUUUAGUAGAACUCAGGGCAUGAAUGCACAGCUGAGACAAGUGGCAAGUGGGGUACUUGAAAAUUACUCUACUAAGACACAAGUAUGUCAAAUUGAUACAGCAAAUUGCAAAACUGUCACCAUGUUCAAAAAUCUGAUUACGCUAAUCUAUUUUGUGCAACAACUGAUCUGUUAUUUAUUGUGAUUGCUUCUUA